rfam:Branchiostoma floridae genomic scaffold BRAFLscaffold_190, whole genome shotgun sequence.
GUGUAUGGAUGGUGUUCAGCACCAAGGACAGGUGUGUUCGCCUGCAUGUGGAUUGUGUUCAGCACUAAGGACAGGUGUGUUUACCU